UACGGAGGGGGCUAGCGUUGUUCGGAAUUACUGGGCGUAAAGCGCACGUAGGCGGAUUUGUAAGUCAGGGGUGAAAUCACGGGGCUCAACCUCGGAACUGCCUGUGAUACUGCAAAUCUCGAGUCCGGAAGAGGUGAGUGGAAUUCCUAGUGUAGAGGUGAAAUUCGUAGAUAUUAGGAAGAACACCAGUGGCGAAGGCGGCUCACUGGUCCGGUACUGACGCUGAGGUGCGAAAGCGUGGGGAGCAAACAGG
rnacentral:rRNA from 1 species